AAGAGGAACUACUGCAUCACCUGGACUUCAUGUACUCUGUGUUAAAUAAGCCGUGUGGGCUGCGAGCUCGUGAGAUGACAGAGAUGUCCAACCUGAAGUCCCAGCUGGAAAGCAGUGUCAGGAGCUGAUCAGAAAUAGCCACAGUUCAUGGCAGAGGAUUUGCAAAGUAUGAUUUUGUUGAAAAUGCCGUGCUUCACAGAAAGAGGCCUCCUACUGGUGCCUGCAAUCACGCUGAACCCCAAGACAGCCCAUCAUGGAUUUUCAAGAAUCCUCUCUCUCGAGACAAGCACAGCCAACAAACCCAAGCAGAUGACUGUGUGCAUUACUUACACUGCUGCUUUCCAUUCGGCUGCUGUCAGCAAAUCUGCUCCAGGCUCCAACGUCAAGCGACACCGACAGACUGAGGCCAUGCGUGAAGGCAGCAUGGUGCCGAAAAACCGAUGCUCAGACAAGUUCUCACAGCAUCUGUAGGUCCGAGCUGCUUGUGUCAAGGUGAAGCUUAUUCACCUUCCACUCUGACUGGGUAGAGGCAGCCACUACGGCAGCAAAGUGUGUGGAACACUGGCGUCACAGUCACAGGGAGCUAGCAGGUCCUUGUGAUACCUUUUGGGUUCAGGUAGGUUUUUUGCAUGUGGUGAUGUACAGGUAUAAAUCACUACCCUACUCAACCCUAAAGUAAGAGGCACUAUCCAGUCGAGGUUUUCCCACAAAUCUAUCAUUUCUGACAAGUUUGAUGCAUGGACAAAAGUCAGGAAGACCCUCCUAAGCCUUUCUGAGCCUUCCAAGAUCAUCACCUGCAUAUGCUAAAAAGGGAAAACCAAAUAUUUUGUCUUAGCAACCUGCUGCCAUAUGCCUGAGUAGGGGCUGCUUAGCAAAAUCUUUGCUCCCGAUACCUCUUAAAUGACAUUGGGAUAGGCUGAUUGUCUUUUGCCUGGAGAGUAUAAAGAAGCUAAAAGCAUAAUGAAAUAUUUUCCUGCACACACAAGCUGUCUGUGUAAUAAUGGUUUCUAGGCUGUGAUACCUGCUUUGAAAUUUGUUUAUAUUAUUGAAAAGAAAGAUACAAAUGGUUUAGAUAUAAAGGUUUGUAACCAAGAUGAGUUGAGCAUCGACUGAAUAAUGCUGAAAAGACUGUGUAAAUCAUGCGAAAGCAGGACGAUAAAUACAGGUUGCCAGAGAGAUUACUCCUAAAAGCCUUUCUUGUGACUGAAAUGAGAGCCCUGAAAUGCUCUCAGGCAGCAGCCUGAAAACAUGUGGCUGGGGAACCUUUCUGCAGGCUGCAGACAGAGUAGGUUUUCAGCCAGUGACGAGACAAAUGGAUGAAGCGACCCUCAGCGCAAGGAGGGACCCCGCAUCUGGCUGAUGUGGAUGCCCUUGGGCUGCUUCCGUGACGGGGAGCUCUGCGAAAGCUGCGUCCUGCCAUAAGGAAUUGUUCACGUGCAUCUCCCAGUCACGCUGGAAGGCGUGUGGACGUAUGGAAGAUGUCAGCAGUACUUUUUUCUAUCUAGCUUUCAUUACCAGCAUUGAGGAAAGAAAGUCAGCGGUUUUGUCAGGAAUCUCUCGACCAAAGAAAUUCACCGAUGACUUGGCUUAUGCCGGCUAUUUCUUUUCUAUAUUUUCCUCUCUCUGAUGUGAAAUUUGUCAGCUACACGGGUGACCCUGACAGUGCCCAAACGAGCCUGGCCGUGAACUUUGAAUUAUCGUUUAAACCCCUGCUGCCACUGCGCGUGGGAUUUGACCAAAGGUAUUAGCGAGUUGUUAGUGAAAAUAGCAGUCUCCAGUGGGUGUCUGGCUAAUAAAACUGCAAUACAGUUUGUUACA
ensembl:lncRNA